CAUCAUCUCCAGCUUGUCGGCAUUUAAACGAGACGCGUGGCAUCUGCUGCUAUCGCCAGCCACGCUUGUUAGCUGCUCCAUGUUCACAGUCGGUCAUUAAGACUGUGACAUCGGGAAUGCAUGUUCAUUGAAACACUGAAGGCAGCGCUGCUACUGUGCAUUAUCUCCAUCAUUAUCUUUUGAAACUUUGCAUGGGGGGCCAUUUUUGGACAUUUUGAUCGUAUCCAUUAUAUGUCAUGAUACACCGACAACAUUAACAUC